AACGAACGCUGGCGGCAGGCUUAACACAUGCAAGUCGAACGCCCCGCAAGGGGAGUGGCAGACGGGUGAGUAACGCGAGGGUACAUACCCUUUCCUGCGGAAUAGCUCUGGGAAACUGGAAUUAAUACCGCAUACGCCCUACGGGGGAAAGAUUGAUCGGGGAAUGAUUGGCCCGCGUUGGAUUAGAUAGUUGGUGGGGUAAAGGCCUACCAAGGCGACGAUCCAUAGCUGGUCUGAGAGGAUGAUCAGCCACAUUGGGACUGAGACACGGCCCAAACUCCUACGGGAGGCAGCAGUGGGGAAUAUUGGACAAUGGGCGCAAGCCUGAUCCAGCCAUGCCGCGUGAGUGAUGAAGGCCUUAGGGUUGUAAAGCUCUUUCACCGAUGAAGAUAAUGACGGUAGUCGGAGAAGAAGCCCCGGCUAACUUCGUGCCAGCCGCCGCCGUAAAAC
rnacentral:rRNA from 1 species